rnacentral:rRNA from 1 species
UACGGAAGGCAGCAGUGGGGAAUAUUGCACAAUGGGCGCAAGCCUGAUGCAGCCAUGCCGCGUGUAUGAAGAAGGCCUUCGGGUUGUAAAGUACUUUCAGUCGUGAGGAAGGUGUUAAGGUUAAUAACCUUAGCAAUUGACGUUAGCGACAGAAGAAGCGCCGGCUAACUCCGUGCCAGCAGCCGCGGUAAUACGGAGGGUGCGAGCGUUAAUCGGAAUUACUGGGCGUAAAGGGCACGCAGGCGGUUAAUAAGUUGGAUGUGAAUCCCCGGGCUUAACCUGGGAAUGGCAUUCAAGACUGGUUAGCUAGAGUCUUGUAGAGGGGGUAGAAUUCCAUGUGUAGCGGUGAAAUGCGUAGAGAUGUGGAGGAAUACCGGUGGCGAAGGCGGCCCCUGGGACAAGACUGACGCUCAUGUGCGAAAGCGUGGGGAGCGAAACAGGAUUAGAUACC